CGGGCGCACGGCGGAUGCCUUGGCACAGGGAGCCGAUGAAGGACGCGGCAAGCUGCGAUAAUCCCCGGCGAGGAGCACACAUCCUUCGACCCGGGGGUCUCCGAAUGGGCGAACCCAUGCACAGCAGUGUGCAUAUCCCCACCCCGAACACAUAGGGGCGGGGAGGACAACCCGGGGAACUGAAACAUCUAAGUACCCGGAGGAGAGGAAAUCAAUCUCGAGACUCCCCGAGUAGCGGCGAGCGAAAGGGGACCGAUGGCCAAACCGUCGAGCGGGCAUACCCGGCAGGGGUUCCGCCGACGGGGUUGCAGGGCCGCGCAUCCGGGGGCUGCCGCCCCCGGGCGCAGGUCCGGCUGGGGAGCGGAACGGCAUGGGAGGGCCGGCCGCAGCGGGUGACAGCCCCGUACGCGAACCCAGACCGGACGGCGCGACGCGGUCCCUGAGUAGGGCCGGGCACGUGAAACCCGGUCCGAACCUGGGUGGACCACCAUCCAAGCCUGAGUACUACCCUGUGACCGAUAGCGCACCAGUACCGUGAGGGAAAGGUGAAAAGCACCCCGGGAGGGGAGUGAAACAGUACCUGAAACCGUGCGCCCACGAGCAGUCGGAGCACCUUUAUGGUGUGACGGCGUGCCUUUUGUAGAAUGAGCCAGCGAGUCGCUGGCGCGGGGCGAGGUUAACCGAAAGGGAGCCGGAGCGAAAGCGAGCCUUAACAGGGCGACUUGAGUCCCGCGCCGCGGACGCGAAGCCGGGUGAGCUAUCCGUGGGCAGGCUGAAGCGGGGGUAAGACCCCGUGGAGGGCCGAACGCACGUCGGUUGAAAACGGCGGCGAUGACCUGCGGAUAGGGGUGAAAGGCCAAUCAAACCCGGAGAUAUCUCGUUCUCCCCGAAAUAGCUUUAGGGCUAGCGUCGAGGUAAGUUGCGUGAAGGUAGAGCACUGAAUAUGUGAUGGCCCCAUCUCGGGGUACUGAGCAUAAUCAAACUGCGAAUGUCACGCCAACAUGCUCGGCAGUCAGACAGCGGGUGAUAAGGUCCGUUGUCAAGAGGGAAACAGCCCAGACCAUCAGCUAAGGUCCCAAAAUGUAUGCUAAGUGGAAAAGGAUGUGGAGAUGUACAGACAACUAGGAGGUUGGCUCAGAAGCAGCCAUCCUUUAAAGAGUGCGUAACAGCUCACUAGUCGAAUGACUCUGCGCCGAUAAUUUACCGGGGCUAAGCAUACUACCGAAGCUAUGGAUCCCAAGGGAUGGUAGGGGAGCGUUCCAUGAACGGAGAAGUACGACCGAAAGGACGUGUGGAGAUCAUGGAAGAGAGAAUGCCGGUGUGAGUAGCGGAACGUGGGUGAGAAUCCCACGCACCGAAAACCCAAGGUUUCCAGAGGAAGGUUCGUCCGCUCUGGGUAAGUCGGGACCUAAGGCGAGGCCGAAAGGCGUAGUCGAUGGACAACAGGUAGAGAUUCCUGUACCCGUAUAUAUGUGAAGGAAUGACGGAGAGAGGAAGCUGCAGCCAGCGGCUGGAAGAGCUGGUGCAAGCGAGAUAUCGGGAUGGCAGGCAAAUCCACCAUCCGAAACGAGAAGGCGUGAAGCGUACGGAAAGCUACGGCGAGUACGGAAGGCAGUGGAGGAACUUCCAAGAAAAGUUUCUAACGUUAAGUAUAUAUGGCCCGUACCGAAAAUGGACACACAUGGGUGAGGAGAGAAUCCUAAGGUGAGCGAGAGAACUAUUGUUAAGGAACUCGGCAAAAUGACCCCGUAACUUCGGGAGAAGGGGUGCCUGCGAGAGCAGGCCGCAGAGAAUAGGCUCAAGCAACUGUUUAGCAAAAACACAGGUCUAUGCGAAACCGAAAGGUGAGGUAUAUGGGCUGACGCCUGCCCGGUGCUGGAAGGUUAAGAGGAGAGGUUAGCGCAAGCGAAGCUUUGAAUUUAAGCCCCAGUAAACGGCGGCCGUAACUAUAACGGUCCUAAGGUAGCGAAAUUCCUUGUCGGGUAAGUUCCGACCCGCACGAAAGGCGUAAUGAUUUGGGCACUGUCUCAACAAUGCACCCGGUGAAAUUGAAAUACCAGUGAAGAUGCUGGUUACCUGCGCCAGGACGGAAAGACCCCAUGGAGCUUUACUCCAGUUUGGUACUGGGACUCGGUAUUGCAUGUACAGGAUAGGUGGGAGGCUAGGAGAUGGUAACGCCAGUUGCCAUGGAGCCGCUGUUGGGAUACCACCCUUGCAGUAUUGGGUUUCUAACCAGCCGCCGUGACCCGGCGGUGGGACAAUGCCAGACGGGGAGUUUGACUGGGGCGGUCGCCUCCGAAAGGGUAUCGGAGGCGCUCAAAGGUUCCCUCAGAAUGGUUGGAAACCAUUCGAAGAGUGCAAAGGCAGAAGGGAGCUUGACUGCGACACCGACGGGUGGAGCAGGUACGAAAGUAGGACUUAGUGAUCCGGUGGUAUAAAGUGGGAUUGCCAUCGCUCAACGGAUAAAAGCUACCCUGGGGAUAACAGGCUUAUCACUCCCAAGAGUUCACAUCGACGGAGUGGUUUGGCACCUCGAUGUCGGCUCAUCGCAUCCUGGGGCUGUAGUAGGUCCCAAGGGUUGGGCUGUUCGCCCAUUAAAGCGGUACGCGAGCUGGGUUCAGAACGUCGUGAGACAGUUCGGUCCCUAUCCGGCGUGGGCGUAGGAUAUUUGAGAGGAGCUGUCCUUAGUACGAGAGGACCGGGAUGGACUGGCCGCUGGUGUAUCUGUUGUAUUACCAAAGGCAUAGCAGAGUAGCCAAGCCGGGAAGGGAUAAACGCUGAAGGCAUCUAAGCGUGAAGCCCCCCUCAAGAUGAGAUAUCCCAUAACGUCAAGUUAGUAAGACCCCUUGA
rnacentral:rRNA from 1 species